rnacentral:rRNA from 1 species
UACGGAGGGUGCAAGCGUUAUCCGGAUUUACUGGGUUUAAAGGGUGCGUAGGUGGGCAGGUAAGUCAGUGGUGAAAUCUCCGAGCUUAACUCGGAAACUGCCAUUGAUACUAUCUGUCUUGAAUUAUCUGGAGGUAAGCGGAAUAUGUCAUGUAGCGGUGAAAUGCUUAGAUAUGACAUAGAACACCAAUUGCGAAGGCAGCUUACUACGGAUCGAUUGACACUGAGGCACGAAAGCGUGGGGAUCAAACAGG